CACGUAGGGCGCAAGCGUUGUCCGGAAUUAUUGGGCGUAAAGAGCUCGUAGGCGGUCUGUUGCGUCCGCUGUGAAAACUCGGGGCUUAACCCCGAGCCUGCAGUGGAUACGGGCAGACUAGAGGUAGGUAGGGGAGAAUGGAAUUCCCGGUGUAGCGGUGAAAUGCGCAGAUAUCGGGAGGAACAUCAGUGGCGAAAGCGGCUUCCUGGUCCAGCACCGACGUUCAGGCACGAAAGCGUGGGGAGCAAACAGG
rnacentral:rRNA from 1 species